UCCUACGGGAGGCAGCAGUGGGGAAUAUUGCGCAAUGGGGGAAACCCUGACGCAGCAACGCCGCGUGAGUGAUGAAGGUCUUCGGAUUGUAAAACUCUGUCUUUGGGGACGAUAAUGACGGUACCCAAGGA
rnacentral:rRNA from 1 species